rnacentral:tRNA from 1 species
AGUAGAGUGGCUUAAUGGAAAGAGCACGGGCUUGGAGUCAGAGGACGUGGGUUCUAAUCCCAUUUUGUCUU